AAAAAAGGGGAUGGAUGAUACCCUUCUCUAGAGAUAGCAGCGGUGCAAAAAGAGAGAAUCCUCUCUCCUUCCUGAUGGCACUCAUCUGAUAAUGCACUAGCGAGGAUUCCCAACUUCCUUCUUCUGAAAAUCUAGCUUUCAAACACACAAAGAUCCCUAAUCUCUCUAUUUAAAAAGAAAUCGCUAAUCUCUGCAUUUUUAGAAAGAAAGAACCUAGUUACUAGUUUCUGUUCAUUUGUCGCACAUUUUCUGGGUUUGUAGAAGUUGAUGGAGCUGUUUGAAGUGCUGAAUCUGCCGAUUUCCGCUAGCAGUAGCCGAGCCCUUUCAUUGAUUGUUUGGUAUGUCAUUCCUUAGUUAUUUGUUGCCUCUAGGUAUGUAAGAUAUCCAUCAUUUUGUUCUCUUUGUUUAAAUUAAUGGAAGUGUUUGCUACUUAAUGUUUUCGAUUACUUAUUUAAUUUAAUCUAUUGUUACAUUAUAUGAAUCGAUGUUUAUAAUUAUCAUAUGUCUAAUGCAAAUUCACAUGUGAUUCUGUUGGUUUUCAUUAAAUGCAUGUCAUCUUUUUUGUGGGAUUUGCACAAUUUGUAGUUAUGUGUUUCUUUGCACUGGUUUGGGAAAAGCAUUUAUAAAAAUAAAGUAUAUUGUUAGUUGUUGUUGCUCCAACAAUAAAUCAUCUUUGUGAGGGUUGCAGUUCAUGCAUUUUAGAACCUUACUUGGACAGAAUUGUGAGUAAAUUAAUCGCCCUUAUCCAGAUAGGCAGUCUUAUAGCAAAAUUAUGCUCUAGACAAUUUAUAGUAUGUUGGACAAUGAAUUUAAUGAAGUGUUUAGCGUAGAUAUACAAUUGUAAUAUGCUUUUGAUUACGCAUUUGGGCCUAAAUCUACCGAAUUUAAAAUAAACAUUGUUCAGCCUUUUCUUAAUAUAAGACUUUGUAUUGUGUAAUACUUGUCUACAUUGCGGAUAAUAUGAAUCACUUGUAUUAGUUAGUAUUGUCUUUUGUUUGCUCAGUAUUUCCUUGAUUAAUGUGUUUAGCGUGCUUCAUGUUUCCAAAUUUUGUUUUUAAUAUUAAGUUAAAGUUAGAUACACUGUAUGCAAUGUUGCCUUUUAUUUAUGGAAGCAAUCUCUUUAAUGCUCAAACUUUGUAUCUGGAUCGUUAGCUUGAAGUUUGCCUUCGUAUGAUUUUUUUUCUUUUUGUAUUUGUACCCUUUUUGAAUAACUUGAAGCGUGCCAUAUUAAGCAAGAUAUAAUUUAUGUCCCUCAAAAGAUUAGUUCAAACAUCCUUUAAAAUUAGACUUGAGAUAUGCCAUAGUGCAAAAUUAGACAACCCAUGGCCUUCGGGUAAUUAAUACUAACUAUUUAGAAAUCGAGGUGUGCCAUCAGUUGAAUUUUUCAUGGCCCUCGCAAACUUGAAAGUGCGUAGUUGCUUUAGGCACUCUAUUUAAAUUAAUUUUCUUAAACUCGGGUGUGCAUUUCAUGUGACCCAAAUCCAAAUCUCAACAACGUUAAAUAAAAUAUGUCUCGGACUGCGGGUGCAUUUCAUGUGGCGUGAUCCAAAGACGCAUUUUAGAUGACGUUGAAAUCUUUCUUAAAAUAAUUGAAAGCGGAUUAAUAAGUUAAAAUAUACCAUAGGCUAAAACAUGUAUUAGAAUCAGAUAAUAGGUCAAUUAUGAUAGUUUAAGUGACCAUGCUAGAACCACGGAAUCCAGGGGUACUUGACACCUUCCCUCGGGUUAAUAGAAUUCCUUAUUCAGAAUUUCUGGUUCGUAGACUUCAAAAGGAAAGUCAAAUUUUUCCUCGAUUUGGGAUUUUAAAAUAAACCAGUGACUUGGGACACCAGCAAAUAAACCAUCCCAAGUGGCGACUCUGAACAAAAAUGAAUAAAUAAUCUCAUUUCGAAUAAUAUCACUUAAAUUGGAAAAACUCCCUUAUACCCUUCCGGGUUGUAGGAAAAAGGAGGUGUGACAACUUUGGCGACUCUGUUGGGGACAAGAACCCAGAACUUUGGGUUCAGGGUUCAGAAUUCGAGCUUAGAUGAAUUGUUAUAGUUGGCUUUAUUUAUUAUCUGAUUUUGUUUGGGCCUAAUGUACUAAAUGUUGCUUUUACCGCUUUGAUAUUCUGUGAACCGUAUAUAAACUGCUACGAAACCCUUCUUCUCUCUGAGUCUUCUAAAUCAUGGAGAAGGGUUCACUUCGUGUGACUUUUCUUCUGUCUAGAGUCUUAUCCCGUUUUAGAACGAGGUUCGGACAAGUUGCAAAGCCGGUGAAGCUUCUGUAUUCCCGGUACACUGCGCCCCCGGCUCGAGUUGUCCGCUCGGGUAAUCCAGGUCUAGAACAAUAAACCCAGGUUUUAAACCUAGUAUAACAAAGCCUCAUGCCGGAUCCCUAUUAGGAACGUUUGCUUGCAUCACGUGCAUUUGACUUUGGAGACUCAACACAGGGGUUGGCUCUGCUUAGGACAGGUAUACCCGAAAUGAAAAGACCAUCCUGAUGCAUCCUACUUGCUACUUGUGUACUUAUUUGCUUCGGAUUUGCAUGUUGACCGGCUUAUGGAUGGUUAGAGGAUAGUUGGAAAAGAAAAAUCAAAGUGAGGACUCAGGGAGAUAAUUACUUGUUUUGAAAAAUCAAUGUCCAAAAAAUAUACUGAAACUCUGCCAAAAUUCUGAAAACAAAAAUUUGUUUUUUUUUUAAAAAAAAUAAAAAUAUAUUUGGUUUUAUUUUCGUCAAAUCUGCCCGAACUACGCCAGUUUGAUUCUCACUGAAUUUGGGAUACGUAGGCAACCCCCAUCGGGUCCAACUUCCUUUUUGCAAAAAUAGCUCAAAAGGCACCAAAAUUUUAUUACUUUGUUGGAAAUAAGUAAGGUGAAGCCAUUCUUCUCGAAAAUAGUCGAAUGUCCCCAAAAGGACGCCAAAAGGCUAUUUUUGCAAGAACAACCACCUUUGGCCUCUUUUUUGGCAUUUUGGCCGAUUAGCAAGCACAACCUUAAAAUCGUUUCCCCGGAAGUGCUGAAAGGUCGUAUUUGCAAAGCCGAGUUUUAUUUUGAAAGAAAAAUUUGAAAAAAGAGAGAGAAAAAAACCUUGUUCACUUUGUUUUUAAGUCAAAUGAGUCUUGAUUUUGCUUAAUCACCUUAACAAAUGUGCAGAAUGAGCACGAGUCAAAGUUUGUCAAUAACAGUCAUGAACAAGAUCCCUUUAGAGUUGCAUAUAUGGUGGGAAGAUCUGGGUAAAUAAGAGCAAGAUAAGGUCAAUCUACAUUUGGGAGAUCUCACCGGGUUAUUGAAGAUCAGGCCUAGAGGAGACAUCAUAAAGGCAUUGGUUAUGUUUUGGGACCCAACUCAUAAUGUCUUGCAGUUCUCGGAUUUUGAACUCACACCAACCUUAAAAGAGAUAGCAGGUUAUAUGGGAAGUACUGAAGGUCUGAGGCAUAAGUAUCUGAUCGCUCCAAGAGCUGUUAACUCUCACAAAUUCAUGGAUUUGCUAAAAAUAAGCAAAGGAAUCCCGUACUCUUAGUUGGCAGACAGUUUUUUCACUCUAAGUUUCAUAUACCAGAGGUACGGGUAUGUAGGAGGAUUCGACAACCCGGAAAGCGGGGUUCGUAGCAAAGCGAACCGAGCAAAAUGGGAUGAGCAUAGACGUUUCGCCUUCAUGGUAGCUUUCUUAGGCCUCUUGGUGUUCCCCCGGAAAGAUGGGAAUAUCGAUCUAGGGGUGGCUGGAGUCGUCAAAGUCUUGAUUACCAAUGCCAAGAGCACCCUUGCCCCUAUGAUAGUGUCUGAGAUAUACCGAGCCCUCACAGCUUGUAAAGUUGGGGCAAAUUUCUUCGAGGGAUGCAAUUUGCUACUACAGAUGUGGAUGAUCGAACACCUAUGUCGCCGCCCUCAGUAUAUAAGUUAUGGGUCCACAGAGAAAAGUUGCAUUGAAGAGUUCGACACAAGGAUUUCAGGGUUCAAAUUACCAGAAGGGUUUGGAGAUUGGGUAUCCCGCCUUCGCUCCAUCACUGGGGGGAAAAUAGAAUGGACAUUGGGUUGGCUUCCUGUUGAAGAAAUUGUGUAUAUGCCCGCCACCGGUCCUUACUUCCUUCUAAUGGGUCUUCGAGGCAUUCAGCCUUACGCUCCGUACCGGGUGAUGAGACAGUUGGGAAAGUUCCAGGUGACGCACCCAGAUGAAGAUCUUAGUGUUUAUGCGGUCGAGGUUAGCUCCGACACCCAAUUUCAUGAAGAAACAGUUUGUUCUAUUUGGAACGAGUGCUAGUAUUUGACAGUGAACACUCGAGUGCAUGACCUACCUAUAAGCGAGGUCUCACCCGCUUACCUUGCCUAAUAUAGAAAGAAGAACACUGCAAGGGCCGAACCGGAAAGACCAGCCAAAAAUCCUAAUAUUCAGGAAUUCGUUGAGGCGUCGCAAGAACAAUGGGCUUGGUUGGCCAAGGAAAAUGAGUACAGGGCCACAACAGGAAAGCUAGAAAAGCAAGUCAGGGAUCUUCAGUUUGAGAAUGGUUUGCAGGCCACCGCAGAUGAGGGCGAUAAGAGAAAGUUAGCCAAAGAAAAUGACGCUCUUCGAGCCCAGAUUCGAGAAAUUAAAACAGCAGCUGAAAAUCCCGCCAGAAGUGCAAAGGAUGAAAAGCUUAUAAAGAACCUUAGGAAGAAGGUGGAUGAGUAUGGUUUUGAUUUGAACAAAGCAGAGGGUGAACUAGCAAGAGCUCGAACAAAAUUGGCUAAGAAUGUGGAAGAACGAGUGCUCCUGGUUAAACAGUUAAAAGAGAAAUACGACAAUGAUAUUGCAGGGUUGAAGAAAAGGGUCAUCACUGUUGAGAACAAAAUGAUCAAGCAGGUGAAAGACUUUAAGGCUGAAAGAGAACAAUUUUAUACAGCAAUGGCACAGUUAGAAAGAGAUUUGCAACAACUCCAAGAACAGAAUCAUGUAGCCGAACAAACUUUGGAAGCCAGGGCCCAGCAGAUUGGGAGUUUGUUGCAAGAAAAGGGUGUCAUAAGAGAGAGAGUCAGAAGGAUCGCCGACUACAUCGCGAUGAAGUGCAGUAGUUGUGAGGAUAUGACUAGAUCCAUGUUCUUUGCCACCGUGAUGACCUUUGUCCGCCAGAUAAUGGAAGAUCUCUACCACCUCCAAGGGGAUUUAGCACGUAGGCCCGUGGCGAGAUCGAAUGAUGUUCCGCGGGCCCCAGAAGCAGUUUUAGGCGUUGAUGUAUUCGUGAUUUUCCUUGGAGCCUGUGAGUAUGUUUUCGAGUCUGUAUUUUCGUUUUUUUAGAGUUUAUCAAUUCCUUUUUCUUAAGUCUAUUAGUUUUUAUGAUUAAAAUCGGUAGGAUGGAUCGUUGUAGUCAAAACGUUUAUUCUAUGAAAAAAUUUGAAAAUCCCAAAAUAUUUUAUUAUUUACUUUUAUACAUAUCCCCCAGAACUACGUUUGCUCUGAUUCAUGCGGGGUUAUGAUAUGUAGGCAAUCUCCAUAGGAUUUGAUCAUAACCAAGAAAAAAAGAGAAGAAAAAAAAAGAAAAGAAAAAAAGAAAAAAAAAGGAAAAACAAGAGAGAAAAGAAAAGAAAAAGAGAGAGAAAGCAAGAAACUGUGGGAAGGAAACAAUGGCAAAGCAAGAGGGAGAAAUAAGAGAAUAAAGAGCAACGAGAAAUCAAGCAAAGAAAGGCAUGAGUGAAAAAAAACGGAGAGAGAGGAAGAAGUUGCAAAUGGAAAUUUGGGAAAGCCGGGGUGACGCAAGCAACCGAUCAAAUGCAUAAUAGAAAUGGUUAACUGCUUAGGUGCAUUGCAUCCCCACUGUGCGGUUGUCUAUCUGUUAAAUACCCUAACGCUAACGGGAUGACCCCAUUUUGUUCCUUUUGAUAUCUUCAUAGCAGAAAGGUGGUUGGUUACCACGGAAAACAUUCAGAACAUCCCAUGGAGAAAGAGAAAUAGAAAAGAUGAUCCGCUGGGCAUUCCUGCUCAACACUCUCAGCCUCGACAUCGGCCCCAUGGAUAUCCUUGUGCACCAGACGACCCUCCCCAAUGUUACUUCUCUCCACAGGACCCCCAAAGUCGUACAUCACUUUCCCAGUACCCUGUCCACAAUGCACCACCAUAUGCUCCACACCCAGGAGGCCCGCGAUGGCCCAUACCACUUCCCCAAAUGUCUUACCCACCCCCUCAAACAUAUCAGCCACCUGCCCGCAAAAGGUUCCAACCGAGGCCAGAAUAUAAACUGAAAAGGCUACUAAAAAAAGAGAAGGCUCUCACCCCUAUUGGAGAAUCAUAUGCCAGUUUGUUUCAAAGGUUGAUGCAAUUGGACAUGUUGAAGCCGAUUCAGAUUAAAAUGCUGAACCCUCUGCCAAAGAAGUUUGAUUUUUCUCAAAGGUGCGCAUAUUGCUCCGAUGCCCCGGGUCACAGUACAGAAAAGUGUUGGCACCAGAAAAAAGCAAUUGAGAAGCUUAUUGAUGCAGGUGACAUUGCGUGCAAAAUCCAGAUGCAACAGACACUAGCCAGAGACCAUCACCUGUGCAUAAUGAGACGCAUAUGGUGGGUACGAUUAAUUUUGAAAAGGAAUAUGAGAAUUCUUCUAAGAUCCUCGGAGGUCCACGUGCUACGAAGCUUUCAGCUCUAUUAGAGGUUGAUCCUAAGAACGAGCAGGCACAUGGAACCCAAAAGCAAUUUGUUAAGAACAAUGUGAUGGAGACUUGUGAAGGUCCCGGUAUUAUUGAUGCAGAAGUCAGCGGCAAAGAUGUUAAGUUUGAUGAUUGGAAAGAUGCUCUUUUCUUAGUUAGCCAAGGGGAGUUUUGGUGGUUUAGUUUGUUGUCAUUUCUGUUGUCCGAUUUGUUUUCAGGGUUGUAAUCCGGAUAUUGUCUUCUGACUCAAACCCUUCUAUCCUUUUAUUUUGCCUAAUUUGUUUAGUCGUAGUAGCUCGUUUAGUGUUGUCUAGGUUUGUUCCAGGUUUGUAACCCCAGUUUAGUUUACUUGUUCUGUUGUUCAAGCCCUUUCACCAUCUGUCUAAUGCAAUUUUCUAUUUUCUGUCAUUUUUGUUUAGUUCUCUUUUCUUUUAAAAGUUCUUUUCCUGUUGACUCUAGUGACAUGACAUGCACGCAUAACUCCCAGCCUGGUCUUGAAAAGUCAGUUUAGUCAUGAAGCAAUGGAACAAUUUUGAAGAAGAUAGGGACAUUUGAGGGAAAUAAGUAAAGGCAUUUUAUAUUACUUCAAGCCCGAAUUGUGUGAAACUGGGGCAGAUAGAACAUAAAGAAACCCUAUUGAAAUGCAUCAUGACGCAUCGGGUUGAAUCUAAAGGCAAGUUUGCCCAAAUUAAUAGGGGUCGUUCGUGGUAAUGAGAGUAAGAGUGUUGUCCAAUGGUGUUUUGUAUUUAACAGAUUUUCACGACCCCAAUCCCGAUCAUGAUGGCGCCCAACACGAUGCUAGGCAAGCCCGACCAAUUACCACUCACAAUCCCUUCUUAUUGGAAUUCAUUACCAAUUUUCAGAAAUAGAUACCAAUUUAAUAUAAGUAGAAGUCUGAAAUAAAAUAUUGAAAUAUGCGAAAAGCCAUAAUGAAAUCUCUACAAAUGCCCAAUGAUCUGGUGUCACAAGUCUGAGCCUAUAAUACAAGGUUUCAACAGCCUAAUGUAGAAAUAUAUCUAAAAUGUGGAAUAGUAAAGAAAGAUAGAGGGAGAAAUCGGGUCUGCGGACGCCAUGCAGCUACCGCAAUAACUCCGAUGAAAAACUGAACGGCAGGAAAGCUCACUCUACACCUCAGGGACACCUGUACCUGCACACAUGGUGCAGGGAGUAAUGUGAGUACUCCGACCCACUGAGUAAUAACAAUAAAUGAUGGUUGACGGUAUGAAAUCACGUAAGGGCACUAAGCAGUUCUAUAUCAAAGUAGUAAAACCAUUUAAAGAGCGAGUAGUAAAUAAAAUUGAAUGAAACUCUUUGAACCAGGUGAAAACAGGUAGUUUGAUAGGCAUUAAUCCAGUAUAAAUCCUCUCCUCGAGCAUUUCUGUUCAUUUACUUAUUUCUUACCCUCAAUAUUCAAUUCAUAUACUUCUCACAAUAACCUAAAUCGAAACAUAUACAUAUACCGCUACGACAUGCAACCCGAUCCGUAUAUCGUUGUGGCGUACAACCCGAUCCAUAAUAAUAAUAAUAGUCAACUGCGCUCACUGGGGGUGUGUAGACUCCGGAGGGGCUCCUACAACCCAAACGCUAUAUUGCUGCAGCGUGUAUUCCAGUCCAUAUAUAUAUAUAUAUAUAUUUACAUAUUUGCUGCGGCGCGCAGCCCGGUCCAUAUAAGUAUUUGUUGCGGCGUGCAGGCCGAUCCAAUAUCAUAUAUAAUAUCCUCACUAUUGGGUCCUCAACCCCUCUCAGUCAUUAUAAUCACAGCCUCUCGGACACAAUAAUAUAAGGUAGGGAUCUCAGCCCACAUAUUUCUUUCAUUUAUGAUUAACAUUUCAUAACUCGGUUCAUAUCAUUUUUUUAAACAAUUAAAAACAUGACCGAGGAUAUGAUUUUUAGCAAAUAAGUGAGGAAAACCAGUCAAAAAUCCCAUAAGGGUUCUACAGGUCGGCACAAGGCUCAACAAGGGCACAGUAAGCUGGCUGAUUUUGGAUUUUCACCAGAAUGGGAUCAAUGAAAUUCUUGUCGGGAUGCUGUAUCAUAGAUGAAAGGAUGGCCAAUGCAUCAGCGAACUCAUUUUGGAUUCUGGAAACAUGCUGGAAUUCUGUCUUUGUGAACCUCUUUCUCAAUUCCUCUACGUUAUGCAGAUAGGGGAGUAUCUUGGAGUUCUUAGUUGCCCAUUCUUCUCGUACCUAAUGUAUAAGUAAGUCCGAAGCUCCAAUCACUAGUAGCUCUUGAAUGUUCAUGUCAAUGGCCAUUUUGAGCCCUAAUAUGCAGGCUUCAUACUCGGCCAUAUUGUUGGUGCAGGGUAACCUGAGUUUGGUAGACACUGGAUAAUGCUGACCAGUUUCUGAUAUUAAGAUUUAUCCUAUGCCAACUCCUUUGAAGUUUGCUACUCCAUCGAAGAACAUUCUCCAACCGUCAUAGGAUUCCGCAAUGUCUUCUCCUAUAAAUGAUACCUUUUCAUCAGGAAAAUACAUUUUCAGGGGUUCGUAUCCUCCAUCCAUGGGAUUUUCAGCAACGUGGUCUGCCAGUGCCUAUCCCUUGACCGCUUUCUGAGUUACGUAAACAAUAUUGAACUCACUCAAUAGGAUUUGCCACUUGGAUAGCUUGCCGGUAGGCAUGGUCUUCUGAAAGAUGUACUUCAAAGGAUCCAUCCUCGAUAUGAGAUAUGUAGUAUAGGUGAAGAAGUAAUGUCUUAGAUUCUGAGCUACCAAAGUCAAAGCACAACAUGUGCGUUCCAAUAGAGAAUACCGAGCCUCGUACAGGGUGAACUUUUUAUUGAGAUAAUAAAUGGCUUGCUCCUUCCUCCCCGUUUCAUCAUGCUACCCCAGAACGCAGUCGAAAGGUCUAUCUAACACUGUAAGGUAUAGCAAUAAGGGUGUACUUGGCUCGGUUGGGACUAAGAUUGGUGGUGUUGAUAGGUACUCCUUGAUUUCGUCGAAGGCCUUUUGGCAGUCAUCGGUCCAUUUGGUGGCCGCAUCCUUUUUUAAACUCUUAAAGAUUGACUCAUAGAUAACUGUAGAUUGUGCUAUGAAUUAGCUGAUGUAGUUAAGCCUUCCCAAGAAACUCAUCACAUCCUUCUUGUUCUUUGGCGGUGGUAGUUCUUGAAUGGAUUUGACUUUCGAUAGAUCCAGUUCUAUUCCUCGGCGGCUCAUAAUAAACCCAAGCAAUUUCCCAGUAGGAACCCCAAAUGCGCACUUUGUGGGGUUUAGUUUCAGGUUGUACCUCCGCAGUCUAUUGAAGAACUUCCUCAGAUCUUCUAUGUAGUUAGUGGCGUUCUUGGAUUUGAUAAUAACAUCAUCCACAUAUACCUCUAUCUCCUUGUGUAUCAUAUCAUGGGAAAUGGUAGUCAUGGCCCUCAUGUAGGUGGCCCUGCAUUCUUCAGGCCGAAUGGUAUUAUCUUGUAAUAGUACACUCCCUACGGCGUAAUGAAAGUCAUUUUCUCAGCAUCUUCCUCAUCCAUCCAGAUCUGAUGAUAACCAGCGAAGCAAUCCACGAAUGAUUGUAACUCAUGCUUGGCACAGUUGUAAAUCAGGAUGUGUAUAUUUGGCAAAGGGAAGUCGUCUUUCGGACUGGCCCGGUUGAGAUCCCGGUAGUCGACACAGACUCUGACAUUCCCAUCCUUCUUAGGUACUGGCACAAUGUUGGCUAACCAUGUCGGGUAUUCUACUACCCUGAGAACCUUAGCCUUGAUCUGCUUGGUGACUUCUUCCUUGACUUUCAAACUCAUAUCAGGCUUGAACUUGCUGAGUUUUUGCUUUACAGGUGAACACAUUGGAUCAGUUGGCAGUUUGUGAGCAACAAUAGAUGUAUUCAGACCAGUCAUGUCAUUAUACGACUAGGCGAAUAUGUCCUCAUACUCCUUUAGAAAUUUUGUGUAUUCUUUCUUUUCCGAUAGCGAUAGGUGAAUGUUGAUUUGUCUUUCCAUGAUGUUUUCUGCAUCUCCCAGGUUGACAAUCUCGGUCUCUUCCAAGUUGGACUUAAGUCUGUUCUUAAAGUUCUCAACUUCUUUGACAAUCUAGUCAGGUAUGUCAUCUUCCUCUGAAUCAAUGUCUGUUUGUUGUGUUGUCUCAUUAAAUGUCACAGUCAUUGGCUCAUCAAGAUAAGUAAUAGUAAUCUUGUAUUGGUAAAGCAAGGAAAGAAAACGAUAGCAAUAACAUUAAUUCACAAGAAAAAUCAGAAAUGCUUUUGAUAAAUUAAAUAACUGUCUUGAACAUCGAAGAUCUUAUUGCGGGAAUGUAAAAAUGGGAAAAGAAAAUCAUUUAGUAAAUAAAACAGUGAAUAAUGCUUGUUUUAGCCUUGCUACCCUGAAGCUCGUCACACUUUGGUUGUCUUGAUGGUCCAAAUCUUAAGAUGUGGCUCUCUGCUCACAGCCUGUAUGGAAGGGCCUUCCUCCCCCUCCUCCCCGAGAAUAAUACAACAGUCCAUAUCACUGUCCUCUAAAAACAAGUUCUUCAUUGCUGCAAAUGCUUCUUCUUCAUCUGACCCAUAAAUAAUGUCAGCCUAUUGGAAGGUUUGCUCCAGAUGCGGUAUUGGUUGCUCUAGUGGGUAGUAAGGACCGCGCUAUUAUGGAGACCAGUUAUUGAAUUCUUCCCAGGUGUAUUCAUAUCCCAAACCGAAGGUAGUGACAUGUUUCUUGAGUUUUAUGGGUUUAGAGAUUCCUUGGAGGUUCUUGCCGAGCCCUUUGCCAGGUUGGUACCCACUCCAACUCAGUAUAUUCUCGAUUUUGCUAUCCCACCAUUUAUCUUUGUCGAUAGCAUUGACCCGUUCAAUGUGGUGGUAAGUUUCUCCACCCAGCUUCCUUCUUCCCUCAGUCGUCGGAAUGGUCUGGCGACUGUAUAUAGGGUUGCUACCGUCACCGUGAAUGAUCACUUCCUGGUGAUUUCAUUCAAAUUUUACUUCCUGAUGCAGCGUUGAUGCUACGGCCCCAGUAGCAUGAAUCCAUGGCCGUCGCAGCAGCAAGUUGUAAGAUGAUGAUACAUCUAUCACCUGGAAAUUGACCUCGAACUAGGUUGGUCCCAUCUGCAAGUAUAGAAUAAUCACACCAAUGGUGGACGUCUGAGAUCUAUCGAAAGCUUUCACACUGAUUGCUCCAUCCUUUAUCUCAUGCAGCCCUUUACCCAAGAUCUUGAGUGUUACCAGCGGACAAAUGUUAAGAUUGGAACCUCCAUUGAUCAGGAUUUUGGUGAUGAAAUAAUCUUUGCAUUGCACGGUGAUAUGCAGUGUCUUAUUAUGCCCCAGCCCUUCAGAUGGCAGCUCGUCCUCAUGAAAGGUGAUCUUGUGGCUUUACAGAACUUGUCCUACCAUAUUAACCACUUCCCCGCUAGUGAUGUUACUUGGUACGUAUACUUCAUUCAGCACUUUUAACAAAGCAUUCUUAUGUGACUCAGAAUUUUGCAGCAAAGAGAGAAUGGAUAUUUGGGCUGGCGUUUUGUUAACUGGUCGAUGACCGAAUAUUCCUUGGUCUAUAUUUUCCUCCAAAGGUUGUCUGAACCAGUCUUAAUGAGGGGUGGCCGAUUAGAGACCUGCUUGCUUGAUUCAACUAGAUGUUCAGGGGUAUAGACUCUACCAGUUCUCGUCAUACCUUGUGCUGCGACAUCUUCUUCAAUCCUGACCUUACCUUUCCUUCUUGCCGCAGCUGUAUAGUCCCAUGUUACAACAUUUGUGUAGGAUGAUGGCACAGUUGACAUUGCCACUAAGAUCGACGCGGCUAUCCUUACUUUGAGUGGAACAACCUCAAAUGGUGCGGGUGCAUUUGCCGGAGACACAAUUUAACCUCAAUUGGUACCGACGUCUUUGCGGAUGGUGCUGCUUCAAACUCGAGAGGUACAGACAUAUUCACCUCAGCGUCCUCACACAGUUGGAUCUGGACUAUGAUUGGAUUGAGAGUAAUUGUUGGUUUCUUUGGGUUAUCACCUUCUACGAUCAACCCGAUUGACCCCUCGGGAUUCCAGUCAUCUUCUAUUUCAAUCAUGUGGAUGCCUCCACCUUUAUGGUAUGAUAGAGAGUUGUUACGGACAUUUGGAAUGGGUUCUUUUGCCACAAUGAUCUUGUUAUCAAUCAAGGAUUGUAUCUUGUCUUUCAAGGUGUAACAUUCAUCGAUGGCAUGCACUUUCAUGCCGGAGUGGUAUGCACAGGAUUUGUUUGGGUUAACCUACUGAGAAGGAUUCUCAGGAGUUGCAGUAGGGAUGGGGGUAACAUAACCAGGAGAUUUAAGCCUCUCAUACAGCUGGUCGAUGGGUUCAGCGAUGGCUGUAAAUUGUUUUGGAGGUCUACGGUCAAAAUUAGGUUGGGGUCUAGGGAAAUUUUGGCGUGCAGGGGGGGAUUGAUAAUGGGAUGGUUGAGCAUUAUAGGUUUGGUAGACAUGAGUAGGUUAGGAGUAUCUGGGUAAAGUAGGUUGAUAUGUAGGAGGUGGAGAUGACUGAUAGGUUGGUGGAAGAGCUUGGUAUGAAUGUUAUGGUGCUUGGUAAUUUGGGGUUGGCUGGUGUGUGAGUGGAGGUGUUAGGUAAGCUUGGUAUUUGAGGGGAGACUGGGUCCUUUGUGCAACCAUCACGGCCCCUACGUCCCUUUUCUUGGACACACCACCGGACUGUAAAGCCUUGUUUCUAGCUUGCAAGGCCUCAAAAUUUGUAACUAUACCAAUUUUAAUACCUUUUUCAAUUCUUUCACCUAAUUUAAUAACGUCGGAGAACUUGUAGUUCUCAAUCAUCAUCAGCCGUUCAUAGUACUGGGGGUCCUGAGCUCGAACAAAGAACUUGUUCAUUUGCUCCUUUUCUAAGGCAGGUCUAACCUUAGAAACUUCGGACCUCCAGCGAGUGGCAUACUCGCGAAACGUCUCUGUGGGCUUCUUCUUUAAUUUCUGGAUAUAGAACACGUCUGGUGCGUUCUUUGUGUUAAACCUAAAUCGGUCUAUGAAGUCAGAUUCCAUGCCUACUCAGCUUGACCACUUCUUGGGAUCUUGGCUAAUGUACCAAGAUAAUGCAUCUCCUUUCAAACUCCUUAUGAACAGCUUCAUGCGGAUCCUUUCAUCCUUCACUACUCCAACCAACUUGUCGCAAUAUGUCCUCAGAUGGACCCUUAGAUCACCCGUACUAUCAAAUAUUUCGAACUUAGGAGGUUUACACCCCUCAGGCAGUUCGACAUCAGGCUGUAUGCAAAGAUCCUCAUAGUUCAGUCCCUCAAUUCCUUUGCUUCCCUCAAUACCUUGAAUCCGGCUGGUCAAUUUCUUAAGUUUCUCGGUCAAGUUCCUAAUAAGCAGAUCCUUUUCAUCAGACUCAGGUGUGCUUGAGAUAGGUUAGGUAGAGUGUGGCACGGUUUCCACGUAGAUAGGAGUGUUAUGGUUGCCUGGUGUAUGGAUGUGGAAAUGGUCGUUUACAGAGUUCUAAGGUUUUGAGAUGAGUAGUGGAGUGUUGUUUGGAGUAUGGCAGGUGUUAUAUUGGUUGUUUGGUGGAGUAACAUGAUGAUGAGGAGUAGGAUGAUUCUAAUUUUUUUGGGAUAUUUUGAGGAGGUGUAGGGUUUUGAGUGUUGGGGAAGUUGAUAUCUGGGGUGCUGAGGGAAAAUGGCAGGCUUUCCAAAUUUCGAACUUGGUCGAGCUCUUCCUAGAAUUUCAACAGUUUCUGUUCAAGUUGUGAUACAUUCUCGUUAGGAACCCGAAUACCCUGGCCAUCAGUGGCCUCUACCCGUUCAGUCGUGUUCUCCUUCCUGAUGUUGUUCAAAUCUUCAAUCUUUCCUUUGUUCUUGCUUUUAACAGGAAUAAGAGGAGGAGUGGGUGGAGGGCCCCUGGAUCUUGUGAAAUAAGAUGAUGAUGCCAGAGUGCACGAAGUAACCUUUAGAGAGGGGGAUAAUAAAACAAAACUAAAAACAAAAGGUAAUCAAUUCAGUGAGGAUUAUGAAAAGGUAUUGCAAUAUUUAAAACACAUAGUGCGGGAAUGUAAAGCGGGUCCUAACUUGGGAACCUCUUUGUGCCCGAUGUAGGCCUAGCGAUAAAUUGAUUUGGAGAACGUAAAAUGCUAAAUGCCUCAUUUUAUGGAUAAAAAUAGACAAAUCCGAAAACGACAUUAAAUAGGAAAGAAAUAAAAAUCACUAAUGGCCAUUGGCCUUAUUACAUUCAUAAAGAGAAAAAGCAAAUUCCUAUCUAUUUGGUCCCAGAAGGACCUUCCCCAGAUUUGGCAUCCUUGGCUUCAUCGAACAGCUUCCCCAAUUCGUGAAGUCCCAGCAACAGGUAUGCUCUGGCCAGAUGUCCGCCUUCAAUCCCUUCAGCUUUUUGAUAGUCUUCAACCUUUUGCGAAAUUUCCCUUCUAGUUCUGCUAUGCCUAGCUCCAAGUAUCCUAGCCUUUUGUUGGCAUUGAUAGCCAUGUCUUUCCAUUCCUUAAUCAGCUUCUAGUUGGACUCUUGUAUCUCGCGGUGUUCGCUCUUGCAUUCAUGGAUCUUUUUGCGCAGCUGGUUGUACUUGACCUAUACCUCGGCCUUUUAUCUUUAAUUAUGUGACCUCGAACGAACCCUGGCUGGCCCAGACCAUCCCAAUUAUCUUCCAACUAACCCGGAUAGAAAGGAGUACAACCGACAUGAUAUCUGUGGCUCGAUGGUGUCUUUCCCCAUUACAAUCUUGUAGUGCUACAUGUGUUGAGCUUGGCACUUGUAGGGACUAUCAUCAUUUUGGAAGUUAGCUCAGAAAUCGCUCAUCUUGUCGACCCUAGGUAUGACUUGCUUUCUACCUACUUGCCUCACAACUCGAAAAGAGACGUAAGGGUAUGUUCCUCUUAGACCAAUCAGUAUCAGGAAAGGUGCAUCUUUGGAUCGGGCGAUGAACUCCUCUAUCGGAAACCACUCAAACAUCCAUUGAACCUAUGUUUCAGUCAGAUUAUCAAAUAGCUCAACCCAUCCUUUGGCAUUCUCAGGCUGAACGAACAUGUCAGGGAUAUAAUUCAUUCACUUUAGAUGGUGGAAAGCAAUGUGAUCAUCCCAGACCCUUCGCUGAAUUUCUUGCCGGUAUUCGCCCUUUUGGUGAUGUUCCAUGAACCAAAACUGAAGUAAUAUAUUGCAGUCUUCGAAGUGUCUCGCUCCUCGUUGACACUACUCUAAGGCUCGGUAUAUGUCUGUGAUGAUCAUGGGUACAAUUCUGAAUGUCUACCCAUCAAUCCCCUUCAUUAGGGUCUUGGUCACCAUAGCCAGUCUAGUAUGGAUUCUCCCUUUCUUCAUUGGAAACACGAUCAGACCCAGGAAGCAAAAGAUGAAGACGAAUACCCUACGAUGGAUAUGUCCCAAGGACGUGAUGGCAAACUCGUCAUGGUAGGUAUGGUAUGAUUUUCUGUGACUGUACCUUUCAUACAGGUAGUCAAAAGGGAUUUAUGAUUCCUUCAGGCAUACCAAUUCUGCAUUCUUCUUUAAACCCAUCAUUUUAAGGAAACCUUUGCAUGUGCAGUUCUCAGGAAUUAGCAAACCCGGAGUUUCCCACACUAGACCGACCAGUUCUCCUAUCUCCUCUAGCAAAGGUGUCAUUUCGAUGUCCCCAAAGCGGAACACGGCCCUUUCACAAUCCCAAAAUAACGUAGUUGCUUCUAUGAUCAUAUUGUUAGGAUGGAUCUCCAAGAGGGAUGGUAGAUUGCCCAGAUAUUUUUUGACGAGGGUUUUGUCACUAGAAUGUAAAUCUUCCCACCAACUUAGCAGUCCUGGGUGGAUAUUGGUGACUAUGCCGAAUCUAGGGACUUCGUGCCUCAUAUUUCUGCAAAACAAACAAGGUUAGGCCCUUACCCUCACCAAACUCGACUAUUUAACAUCAAUAAUUAGUAUGAAGCAUUUAGUUCUCCAAAUAAAUGCACUGAACGUGAUGAUGUUCGUUUGGAUUUAGGGAAACCCAGUGGACUUUUAGACAAGGCUAUCUUAAAGAAUCAUUAACAUAACUGACCCGACUAAGUUUGACCAUGAUGCAUGCAUAAUUUAAAUAGAGUAAGGUUUCUAUGUGGUUUUAGAUUGGUACCCUUGAGCGGAAAACUCAAGAGGGAAGACACAGAACUGUCGACUAGUUUUACCGCAAAUAAGCCUUUCCGAAUUUAGGGGUAAUGAUAUAGGAAGUGAGCAACCACUCAUCAAGCGUUGCUAUAGUAUUUGUUUGACAUGAGUGGAGUAUGAUGUUGAGCAUGAUUAUGCAAUAAUUAAAAGCAUGUUGACAUGUAUUUGCACGUUAAGAAAGCGAUAAAUACAGCAAUUUUAUAAUUUAAAGCAGUUAUAAAGGAAGAAAACAAGAAAGAUAUGUCAUUUUUGCUUUUGAAGAAGAAAUUAAUUGCUUAAAGAAAUUAAACAAGUAAUUGCACAUAGGGAGGGGUACAAAUUCACAAAAACAAUAUGAAAUGGUAAAAGCCUAAAUAUGCCCAGCAGAGUCGUCAUGCUGUCGCGCCCCCUUGUUCCUUCGCGGAAUCGGGUUUAUGAUAUUUUGGUAUGGGACAACUCACUCCUUUUGGGAAAUGGAGUUUGUAGUUUGAAGAGUCACCACCUAACAAUUUUAAGGUGCGUUAGGGCACCUAUAGGGUUUAUUUAUAACUACGUUUGUUAACCAGAAAUAGGGUAAGGGCUUGAAAUUAUCCUAAAGGGAAGGAGUUAGGCACCCCUCAGGAUCACUAGUGUCGUUCCCAGCCAGAUAAUAUUUUGUGAAUUUUUACAAGUAGCAAACAAAACAAGUAUGACUUAAAUAGUAGGGGAUUUAAGUUUAAAAAUACAAGUGUUUGAAAAGGACAAUUAAUAAAAGAAAAGCAAGAUUUUGAAAAAUAAUUACAAUCUAAGCAUGCUUAUGAAUGUAAAGAGGGGUGUCCUAGGUUUGUUUAUAAUAUGGAUUACAUCAAUGCAAUACCCGGUAUGACACUCCUCAAAGAGGGGCUAUACAUGGUAUUAAUGUACCGGUCAUCAUAUCCAUAUCUACCCUUUCCUACCCCGUGAAGAUAACUAAAGCGAGGGUUGGUCUCAACCCCUAUUGCAUGCUAUUACCCAUCCCUUCCUAUUAGUCCCGGAGGAAUUUAGGACUCCUAUCCUACAAAAGGAGGUUCUGGCAGACCCUCAAGUUUAAAGGCAAAAACACUAAGGCGGCAUAUAAUUAACAAGUAGGACUUCAAUUAAAGGGAGCAUGGAAUACAAACAAAAGGCUCAAAUAUAUCUCGACAUAUAGUGCACAUGAACAACAUGACUCAUACAAAGAUAAGGUCUGAAUUAAGAAUUCUAAAGUAUGGUAUCUAAGUGAUAAUAGCAUAACCAGAUUUAUUGCAUGACUCAGAAAAGAAGUCCGAAUCAGGUUUGCCUACUGAUUUUAAUAGGUUGAUAGUUAAACAAAGGCAGUUCUGGUUUUAUUUAAGCUAUUACAUAAGUCUUGCCUAGCAGUUAUUUCGAGUUAUUAAAAUAGUUUGGAGAUUGUUUUUACCUAAAACAUGUUGUUCUAAUUGAUACGAAUGCAGAGAUUGUUAUCAAUUUUAUUCAGAAAAAAACAUUAAAAUGUGAAAUUAUUACUUUAUUACCUUUUUAUGAAUAAGUAACUAACUAGGUGUUUUAAACAAAAUGCAAAUAGGAUCCUAGAACAUGAUAUCUAAUAUGCACAUGCAAAUGGCAGGAUUAUCAAAAAUAGAAUCCCUAAGGCAUGAUUUCUAAAUGCGCACAAGAGUUGCAGAAUUAUUGAGAUAGGACUUCUGAAAGUACAAGAGUAACAACUUUUAUGCCAAUGUUGUUAUUGUCCUAGGAGCAGAAUUUCUAAGUGAUAGACAUAAAACAUGGCUUAGUGAUGGAUGAGAUGCAGAAGCAAGAAACAUGAGACCUAAGAGCAUGAUUGCUAAUGCAUGUAUGAGUCUUAAGCAUGGUUUCUAUUGCACAAUUAGGAAUAUAACCCUAAUAACAUGUUGUCUACCCUUAACAACUAUAGCAUGCAUAUUUACCCUAUCCCUUUUCACUAGCCACCCAAAUACUUGUUUACAAAUGGUUAUUACAGACCAGCAUUGAAAUGAAUUACAUAAGUAAAAAUGAAAAAAAAUAAGAAUUUACACUAUAGGAAGCCUGAUUAAGACUUCCUCCCUAAGUUUUGUAAUAAACCACUUCAAGUGCCAAUAUUGUUCCAUAACCUUUCUCAUAUCUGGGUAUGUCAGAGUUCUCUAAGGACCUCAAGGGGUCCCGGGCAGUGCUCACACCCAGAUUGCAUAACCAAUACAGAGUAAAUGCAAUGUGAAAAGGCCAACUUUUAUGUGUCCAAGUUCAGAGGGAGCUCAAGGGUCCCAAGGCAAGGCUCACAUAAAAGGGGCAGAACCUAGUGGUCUAAGAGUAUAUGUGAGAGUGCUUGACAUAGAUUUAAAAGAGUUGAGUUGGAAAACAAUUUUGAAACAGCAUGUUUGAAAUAAGUUUGCAAGAUAACAGAAGAGUUGCUUAGGGAAAACAGUUUGGAAAGGAGGAGAGAAUAGGAGCAACAACAACUUGGAACAAGCCAACACACACAGGACAAGUUCAAAGAAUAAGAACAUUUAUAAGCAGGGGAGUAAGGGGUUGGGGACACAGAGAGCCCAAAUCAGAAACACAUAAACAUGGAUGAGAAGAGAAGCAUAUUGACCAGCAAUCACAAAGAACAAGUAGGGAGUGAUUGACCUUUAGAACACAAACUACUUCAAAGUGUUAACAAGGGAAUCAUGCUUGAAAUUAGAAUAGUAAUAAGACAAAGGGACAGGGUCUAAGAGUAAUCAUGCAGGGUUCUAUUACACACAAUUAGUCAUGAGUUAGUGUUAGUCAAGUGCAUUAGGAGACAUACUAGUUGAGGGACAUAAACUGGAACUCAAGUAGACAUGCUGAUUACAUUUGAACAAGAGAGGGCAAAACUUAAGCAUGCUGAAUAAAGCAGUAAACCAGACAGACAAUCAAACAUAUAAGUUAUUGAGUUAGUGCAGAAAAAGACAGGGAUUGACAAACAAUGGAGGACAUAGGGUUAAGUUUCAGAAUUUAACUAGUGACAUACCAGUUAAGGAAGCAAAGUGCAGAAAGGUAAAGCAAGUAGAGUUCCACAGUCUAGCCUUGGCUUUCAGCCGGCUAGACAAGCAGUGGCACAAGUAGUAGAGAAAGAAGAGAGAGUUUGAGUGUGUGUGGGUGUGUUCUAAACUGUGUUCGUGUGUUGAGAGGUAAAACAAGAGUGUAUAUAUGGAACUUUAGGAGUAGAACUAAUAAGGUAAAGAGAAUGAGAGUUCAAUCAAUUAAGGAUCAAUCAACCAAUCACAGAAUCAAAUUAUAUAGAGAAGUCCAGGAAAAAACCCCCUUUAAUUGGGGAACAGUUAAUUAAUAGUCAUAACAGGGUUCAAUUAAGGUAAUAAAUCAAAACCAUACCAUAUAGCGAGUUAGUAAAUCCCCAAACUACUGAUAACUAAUUAAAGCAAGUAUAACCAAUCAAGGUCACAAAUAAAGAAACAAGUAAAAUCCCAGCACACACUGAUUUUAAUGGGAUAGUCAUUCGAAUCAGUAAAAAAAUCUUAGAAUACUGAUUUUUAACAAGAAAGAUUGCUCAAAACCCUAAUAGAAAAUAAUCAUGCAAGGAUCCCGAAGAAUACUGAUUUUUAACAUGGAAAAUUGCUCAAACCCCAAAUAGAAUCAGUUGAUACAUUGGGUUGACAGAAAAAAUAAACAAAUAACGGAGAACAGGUGAAAGAAAAUUAGUGCAAUAGACAGAAACAUCCAGAAUUCAUGCAUAUAUGAGAGAAUCAUUCAAUAUAGUGAAGAAUACUUAGUUUAAACACCGAAAGUUAGAAAAUUUUUUGAGGAAAAUCUGAAAUGAACCCUUAUUUCAAAAAGAGUAAACAAAGUCGAAACAAUUAAUCAAACCAAGAGAUUUUAAAAGGAAAACACCUAAUGAUACUCGAAUAACUACAAAUCGAUAAAGAUCUGAGAAGAUUCGAACAAUAGUGAAACUAGGGUUUUCAGAAAAUAGUAGAGAUGAAGAAACAAUCGGUUAAAAUCUCAUGGAUAUACCUAGAUCUAAGACAGGUCUAAAGAAAAGUGGAAAAUCUCAAGAGUUAGGGUUUCAGAGAACCCAAAGAAGAUGAGAGAACCUUAGAACAUUACCGGUUUUAGCCAGAAAAGUCAUGGAUCUGACUUGAACAGACAUGGAUGGCCAGAAAAUGGCAUGAAAGACCAUAGAGAGGCUCUUGGAGGGUUUUGAACAAGAUGUAGACUAGAUCUCUUCGAUAUCCCUCCAUGAAAUCACAAAAACAAGAAACCAGGUUAUAUAAGAGACAAGUAUAUGUCUCGAACAACCAUGGGAAUCCAUGGAUCGAGUGAGGAUCGAAGGGAUUAAGGUUAAUUUUGGGUGGCGGCGGCUAGGGUUAGGACUAGGACUCAGAGAGACAGAGAGGAUUUGGGGAUUCUAGGGUGGCUUUUUUGGUAAGAAUGAAUUAUAUUAGGGGGUCGUUCAGGUUAAAAAUGGUAAGAAAUAACGUGGACCGUUGAUCUGGGAGAUCAACGGUCGAGAUUAGAAAUGGUAAGUGGGGUUCUGGGUUUAGGUAUGGAUUAAAAGGGUUUGGGUUGGGUUUUAAUUGUAAAAUUGGGUUGGGGAUUGGGGUUUUAUUUGGGCUACAAUUGAAAGCCAAUCUGGCUAUAUAUUAAAUAGCCAUUUUUUCUCUAUUUGAUUUAUAAAAAAUAGUAAAUAGUUUCUGAAAAAUAAUUUAAAGUGCUAAAAUGAUUUAUAAUUCACAAUUAACAAUUUAAAAUACAGGAUCCACUUUUAUGCAUAUAAAAUAUAAUUAAAUCUUAUAAGGGCUAAUAUUGCAAUUAUGUGCAAUUUAGCUUUAAAAAUACUAAAUGUAAUUGUAAAAAUAUAUAAAAAUUAACUUAGCCAUAUUUUGGUAUAAAUAUAGAAAUACAAUAGAUGACUUAUCAAAAUAAUAAUUUUGGAAAUAAUUAUUGGGGAUGUUAUGGAUAAAAAGGGAUAAAAUAAAUCUAUUUAAACCUUUAAAAUUAUGGAAAAUAUAAUAAAACCCUUGGACAUGCUUAUAUAUGCAUAUAUAUGCUAUUUUGAAGGUAUUUUGCAUAUUGAAAAUAUAUAGGAAAAAAUUGGGUAUCAACAGUUGAUAUGUAGCAACAAUAUUUUUUUAACCAAAAGGCAUUACCUUGUAGCAGUAUAUAUAAGUUUUUCAUCCUUGGGUACCAUGCAAAUUUGAUUAUAUCUAGAUGAACCGUAUAUGAAAGACAUCGCCUCAUAUCUAUUCAUGGCAUCAAUCAUGAGCUCCAGGAUGGGAAGAAGAAAUUCAUCCUUAGGACAAGCGUUAUUUAUGUCCUUAAAGUCAAAACAAACUCGAAUUUGACCAUUCUUCUUUCUUACGAGGAAGAUGCUUGAAAUCCAUGUAGGAUAUUUAACUUCACAUACAAAAUCACACUCAAUAAGUUUGUUAACUUCGAUUUCAAUCAAGGGAACCAGUUUAGGCCUAAAGCGACGUUGUGCUUGCUUCACGAAAUGAACACCUCGUUUGAUAGAAAAAUGAUGAACAACUACCUCGGGGUCUAAACCUGGCAUCUCUUUGUAACUCCAAGAAAAUACGUCUUUGAAUUCCUUAAGUAGAACAAUAUAUUUGCUUUCUUAAUUAUCAGUUAGAGAGGCACUUCCAUAUGUAGGCACUGGAUCUUCAACAUCUCUGAGAUUGACUUUUUUUAAUGUAUCAACAGUUGUCUUUACCCCUUCUUCAAGAUCAGGUGGUGCAUCUUUAGCGUCUUCAUCCUCUUGAGGAUCACCAUCAUUGAAAGAUAUGUGAUGGCAUAAAUGAAUAUCAAGCCACGUUUCCUCGACUUUCUCCCGAGAUGAAAGAUUUUGUUCAUCAUGAAUUGUGAUAUCAUAUGAUGACCCCACACUCUCUUCAUCCUCCUCACAUUAUUUAGUAUGGACUAUAGUAUGAGCCUUUGCUUUGAGAACCUUUCCACAUGAAACUACAAGUUUUGUCUCUAGCCUCAUUCUAGAAGGAACUAGACUUGGGAAAUUUGUGGUCAAAAUCUCCCUUUUAGCGAAGACAGGUGCUUGGAUCCUUUCUAUUUCUUCCAUGGCGCUUGUGUUCCUUCUUCAAUGGUCCUAACCUAUCAAACACCGAGGUACAUGGUUUUGUAUGUCGAUCAAACGUGAAGGCUUCUCAUUAAGUGGUGUAGUCACUUCUUUAGGCAUAAUGUAGUUACAACUUAGAGACAUAGAUGCCCCGAUCACGAGGUGUGAAAGGUUGAACAUGGAGGGCUUGAGGUAUGGCAGGGGUAGGCCAAAAAAAUAUUGGGGAGAGGUGGUUAGGUAGGACAUGUCGGUGCUUCACCUAACCGAGGACAUGACUAGUGAUAGUAAAGUGUGGAGGCCGAGGAUUAAGUUGGUGGGUUGAUAGGUAGUUGUGACUUUCUCCUAGGUUUACCAGUAGUACUAGUAGUAUUCUUGUUGUUGGUUGAAAGAUACUUUCUUUAGUUUGUUAGUGUAUCUGGUACUUAGCUACCACAUCCAUUAUUUUUUUUGAAAACUGCUACAGGAAUAUGUUGCUCCCUGAUUGUUACUAUUUGAUGCUACUUUUUCUCCCCUUUUUCCUUAUUGUCUUUUGUCUCCCUCUUCUUUCUUUAUUUCUUCCCCCUCUUUCUUCUUUUUCUUCCCUUUUCUUCCUUGCCAUCUUUUCUUGAGUCGGGGGUCUAUCGAAAAUAGCAUCUCUACCUCUCCAGGUAGGGGUAAGGUCUGCGUACACACUACCAUCUCCAGACCUCACCUGUGGGACUAUACUAGAUUUGUUGUUGUUGUUGUUGUAGUUACAACUUGUCCUUUUUAUGGAGAUACGGAUUGGCGGGGGUUGUUUGUAACCCAAACUUUCACAUGAUUGCUUCAAGGGGUACCCUAUGAUGAUCAUCUUUUGAGUAGGGUUUGAAGCUUUAGGUGGGAGCUUUCCCAACUUGGAUGGUUCAUUGGAAUCAUAUUCAGCUUUUGCUAACAACUUGUAGGCAUUUGGGUCAAAGCCCUCAUCUGUGCACUUUGCAGGAAGUGCUAGAUUUAGAAGUGAAUUGUGGUUUGAUGAUUUGACAAACCCUUUAAGCAACUUUGUAUAUGAUUUAAUUACAUCAAUUCGCUUGAUAUGAAGGGUCAAGUCUCCUAUAACAUUACUUUGUAGUUCAGAAGAUGGAUUUUCAACCAUCCUUGCCUUUUGACAGAGUGAAGAAUAGGAGUCACUUUCUUACUUGAAGAUGCCUCAUUUAUCUUGCUCCUAUCAUAGAGCACUUGAUCUUUUCAACCAUCAUAUUUUCCUUACUAGUUGUGACAUCAACCUUCUUUGCAACACUUUUGGUCAACAUCACAUCAUCAUGCUUAACCUCCUUUGAGACAUAAUUCUUUAAGUAAAAUUUUACAUCGACAAACUGUGAUUCUGCCUUGGUAAAUGGCUUAUCAUCAGCAAUUGUUUUCUUUUCCACUCCAUCUUUAAAGUACUUCAAACAUUGAUGGUAAGUGGAUGAAACCACUUUGUUCUCGUAUAUCCAUGGCCUUCCUAACAAUAUAUUAUAAGAGGUCGUUGCAUCAAUCACAUGCAUCCAUGCACUCGAACAUAUAUCUCACAUAUUUAUUUCCAAUUUGAUAGCCUUUAUAGCUCUUUGCCCCCCUUGAUUGAACCAUUGAAUCAUCAAAUGACUUUCACAUAGUUCAUCCAUCAGUAUACCGAGCUCUUUGACCAUACGAAUUGGGAGAAUAUUGAUGCAUGAUCCAUCAUCAAUCAAAAUUCUACUUAUUCUCUGCUCAAGCCCAAAUCUAACCAUAAACAGGGGAUGAUUAUAGUGUGUUUCACCAAGCAAAAUAUCAUCAUUAGUAAAUGUGAUUUUUGCAUCACUAGUGUCUAUUUCUUCAGAGAUAUGCUCAAUGAGUUUCUCAAACAAGGGAGGUGGUAGAAAUGAUGGAUCUUCCUUCUUUAUCUCUUCUUCAUCUAACUUGCAACGUGAGGCCUUUAUAUCUUCACAGGAAGUUUGCGUGCGUAACCAACUUGGUAGAAAUUCAUCCAAUGUCACUGGACGACGUAGCCUUUGAUACUGAUUCUCCUCCAUUUUUUUCUUCCAAUUCUUAUUUAUCAUUUUCUUCUUAAUUGUUUUCACCAUUUUCCACUAGUCAGUUGCUUAUUUGACUCUCUUUGUGAAUUUGACUUGUAGCGUCUUCGCCGAGUCACAAGAAUGCAACCUUCAUCAUCAAAUGAUUCACUUUUUUCUUGAGAUUUUUGCUCCAGUAUUACUUCAUGCACUAUANNNNNNNNNNNNNNNNNNNNNNNNNNNNNNNNNNNNNNNNNNNNNNNNNNNNNNNNNNNNNNNNNNNNNNNNNNNNNNNNNNNNNNNNNNNNNNNNNNNNNNNNNNNNNNNNNNNNNNNNNNNNNNNNNNNNNNNNNNNNNNNNNNNNNNNNNNNNNNNNNNNNNNNNNNNNNNNNNNNNNNNNNNNNNNNNNNNNNNNNNNNNNNNNNNNNNNNNNNNNNNNNNNNNNNNNNNNNNNNNNNNNNNNNNNNNNNNNNNNNNNNNNNNNNNNNNNNNACACCUCAUUUACUUCGACAAAAUUACAAAGAACAAUGGGAUCAAGUGAACCAAAAAUGACAGAGACUUGAUUCGAACUUUCCUUCUCAUCCUCAAGAAAGAUUUUUCCUUCAGUGACGAAGUCCAUGACUUUAUCCUUGAAGAUAAAUCACUUUUCAAUAGGCUGGCCAAUCAACCGAUGGUACAUACAAUAAUUUGGAUCUUUAGUCCUUCCGUCUUCAUCUGGCCACUUUAUUUAAGGUAUCUCAAUGAGUUUCAACUCAAGGAGUUCUUCAAAAAUUGCUGGAAUAUCAGAAUCCAAGAAUGGAUAUUCUUUCACUUGCAUUUCCUUUAAAGUUAACUUUUGGCCAGCUUUAUCUUGUAAAGACAUUGUAUUCACCCUUUUCUUCUUACUCACUUUUGUAGUGACCUUUAAUGAUGAGCCAUUAACAUUCAUUGAUUCCUUGCUCUCAGACUUUGGCAUAAACUUGCCUCAUUUCUUUAUUUCUUGUUUAUCCUUCCCUUUGCGAGGUUCAUAAACAGGUGGUCCUUGAUUUACACUUGAAGACAUGCUUAAUUCCAUAUCAUGAGAACAUGUAGCAAAUUCUUCAAAAUACUUAGUCUUGAUACCUUAUAAGAUGUAGUGAAGUCCCUAAUGCAUUCCUAGGAUACACAUUUCAAUUCCAGAAGCUUCACUAAGUCCAUAUUUGCAGUUGAGGCUUGCAUUCCUCCAUCGAUUGAUGAAAUCAACAACCGGUUCACUGUUCCAUUGGCGCAUAUUUGGGAGUUCAACCAUACUUACCAUGCACCUUGUGCUAUAGAAGCGAUUGAGAAAUUCAUGUUCAAGUUGCUCCUAGCUAUUGAUGAAACUAGCCUCGUGAUCAAUGUACCAAUCAAUAGCAUUUCCUUUUAAGGAACAGACAAACUUCUUGAAGAGAUAAACUCCAUAGGUUCCAUCAUUAUUACAAUUUCGACGAAGUGUGCAAUGUGUUGCUUUGGUUUUCUUUUACCAUCAAAUUUUUGAAAUUUUGGGGGAUGACAACCUGCAGGCAUCUUCAAACUAUCAAUUCUCGCAGUGUAUGCCUUUGCAUAUGAGAGAGAAGACUUGGCAACAACAUCAUACUUAUAUUUGAUGGUUCCCAUGAUGAAGUCUUUCAAUUGGUUAAUGGGAAUAACCCUGUCACAUGAAAUAUGAAGUUCUUUAGGAGUCGUUGUUUGCCUUGCAGAUGAGUCUCCUUUAUCUUGCAUCAUACGGAGCUUUCCAGGUGCAUGGCUUGAAUCUCCCUCCAUCAUACUUUUAACUCUAUUUGUCAGCUUGACAAUUUGAUUAUCUUGAUCUUGCAUAUGCUUUGUUAACCCCUCAAUUUCCUUUGUUAAAUUUGUGAGUUGUUCUUCAACAAUCGAAGUGUUAGUCUGUAACGACCCAAAUCUCAACAUGUCGUGAUGGCGCCUAUCACAAUACUAGGCAAGUCGAUGAUUACAAAAUAACUAUGCAUUUUAAUUUAAAAGCAUGAUAUAUUGAGUUUAACCGUAAAAAAGAAAUCUCAUAAAAUAACCGAAUGGAAUAACUACAACCCAAAUAAAAAAUCCCCAAAAAUCCAGGUGUCACCAAGUACAUUAGUUGCUAUAUGAAAACACACUCAAAAACUUCUAAUGCAACUGUCUAGAAAUAUAGAAAAAUGUAAAUAAACUGAAAAGAAGGAGAGUCGAGGUCUACGAAUGCCAAAGCAGCUACCCCAAAAGUCUCCAAGCAGGUAAUGCUCCAAGUCUAGCAACCACAGGGUCCAGAUGUACCUGGAUCUACACACUAAGUACUGAGUGUAGUAUGAGUACAAUCGAUCCAAUAUGCUCAAUAAGUAAUAGGACUAACCUUGGGCUGAAAGUAGUGACGAGCUCAAAAGGUACCGUCAAAAUCUGGAUAAUAACAAUACAAGUAUAAUAGGGAAAUGAUAGUAUUACUCAAAGAAAUCUCAUAAUUUGUAUACACAAUACAAAAAUGUGGAUAUGCUUUCAAAUUCAACAAUUAAGCUCAAUACCUAUAAAAUAUGCCAAGUAUAGCUAGCAUGAGGAAUGUUAUAUCUCUAUGUCUACCUAAACAAAUAUGCAUGCUAGAUGCAAUGCAUCACAAUGAUACUCUCAUGUACUCACGCUCUCAGAGUACCGAAUCUGAUUGUGCCAACUCUUACUCAUAACACUCAAUCACUCAGCACUGUACAAUACAUGCACUCACUGCAGGUAUGUCAUACUACGGAGGGGCGGAUCUUGCCCAAGUGCUAAUAAAACCUGUUAUGGCAUGCAACCCGAUCCCAUUAUGAAUCAAUAAUAUCUACUGCGACGUGCAGCCCGAUUCCAUCAUGAAUCAAUAAAAACCUCCUAAGGUGCACAUCCAGAUCCCAUCAAUAUUACUCAAAAUCCGGCCCUCAAGCCCCAACUCAGUCAUCAACCUCUCCAGUCUCUCAGGCUCACAAUCUCAUGCCAAUCAGCCCAAACAAUGAUAUCAUGAUGUAACAAUAAAUGACAACAGAGACUGAGAUAUGAUAUGAAAAUGAUAAAUGUGACUGAGUAUACAUUGCAUUUUCACCAAAUAAUCAACAGCAUAAAUGACCUCAGUUGGUCCCAACUAAAUAAGCACAUAGCCUAAAAAUGAUUUCUACAUAGAUUGCAGCUCGUUUACUCUAACACGUAGGGAUUGCAUGAACAAUAAUAAGGUUUGACAACUACAUGGUACCACGGGAACAACCGGGUCACAAUUACCAUGGUGCACACCCACACGCCCAUCACCUAGUAUGCGUGUCACAUCAAUACCAAUCACAUACCAUGUAUUUAAGGGAUUUAUACCAUCAUAAUCAAGUUUAGAAGUGUUACACACCUCAAACCACGCAAAUCCCUACUCCAACAAAGCCCUUGCCUCCCGAAUCAGCCUCUGAAUAACUCGAAUCUAGCCACUAACAACUUAAUACAAUCAAUACAAACUAUGGGAAUUAAUUCCAUACGAUAAAGCUAAGUUCUUUAACCAAAGUCAAAAAGUCAACCCAAAAGUUAACCCCAAGCCCAUACCUCGGAACCCAACAAAAUUUACAAAAUUCGAACAUGCAUUAAAUAACGAGUCCAACCAUACCAAAAUCAACAAAUUCUGACCUCAAAAUCGUCACUCAAAUCCCCAAAUCUUACUCUCUAAUCCCUAGUCCAAAAUCCUCCAAAUUCAACCUUAAAAACACAUAAUGUAAGUGUAGAAAUCAAUGGUAUUUAAUAUUAAUAAAUAAAAAUGAUCAAAAGUUUCCUACCUCUUGAAAUCUAGUGAAACCCCUCUUAAAAAUUACCACUAAGCAAAGUUGAAAAGUCCAAAAAAGAGAGAAUCCUCAAAACCUCAAUUUUUAUAUAUUCUACCAGUGGUUUCGCUUCUGCGAUACUGCUUAUGCGGUUAAAAGUCCGCACCUUCGGAAAAGUACUAGACCCCCGAACUGCCGCUCCUGCGACCAAAAGCUGGCACCUGCGAAAUCGUGCCUACGACACCGCAUCUGCUUCUGCCUGCCCAGAUUAAUAUCCCAAAUUUUGCACCUGCAACAUCCUUAUCGCAGAAGCACCUUCACUUCUGCAGAAAUACACCCGCUUCUACGAGCCUCCCUUACCUUCACUCCAGUCCGCUUCUCCGACCAAAGCGUCGUAUUUGCGACCUUGCAGGUGCAGAACCUUCCUCGCACCUGCGUUCCUAGGAUUCCUCCCCAAAUGUUGCAUAUGCGCCUUCGUGUCUGAUUUUGUGGCUCAGCACCUGCGACUAAAAUCUCGCAGGUGCGAUUACACUAGAACAACCGCCUAUAGAAAUUUCAGAAGUCCAACUUUUUAUCUGAUUUCAAUCUGAAUCACUCCUGAGGCCUCGGGACCCCAUCCAAACAUAUCAAACCAUCCUAAAACAUCAUACAAACUUAGUCGAGGCCUCAAAUCACAUGAUAUAACAUCAAAAAUGCAAAUCGCACCCCAAUUCAAGCCUAUUGAAAUUAAUGGAUUUCCAACUUUUACAAUCGAUGUCGAAACCUAUCAAACCAACUCAGAUUGACCUUAAAUUUUGCACAUAAGUUGUAAAUGAAAUAAUCGACCUAUUUCAACUUUCGAGACCAAAAUCCGAGCUCGAUAAUGAUAAAGUCAACUCUCGAUCAAAACUCUCAAUUCUCUAAACUUCAACUUUUUUCAACUUUCGCCAAUUCAAGCCAAAAUCAUCUACGAACCUCCAAAUCAAUAUUUAGACACACUCCUAAGUCCAAAAUUACCAUACUGAGCUAACAAAACAAUUAAAACUCCAUUCUGGGGUUAUUUACACAUAUGUUAAAAUCCUACCAACUCUUUCAACUUAAGCUUCCAACAUUGAAACUAAGUGUCCUAAUCCAUUCCAAAACAUCCCUUCAACCAAACCAACCAACCCCGGCAAGUCACAAAACAACAAAUGAACAUAGAAUAAGCAAUAAAUGGGGGAACUAGGCUAUAAUACUCUAAACAACCUGCCAGGUCAUUACAUUCUCCCCCCCCCCCUUUAAAUAAACGUUCGUCCUCUAACGGAUCUAGAAUCAUACCUGGGAUCUCAAAUAGGUGUGGAUAUCUGCUUUGUAUCUACCUCUCGAUCUUCCAAGUAGCCUCCUUGACUGGAUGACUUCUCCAUUAUAUUUUCACUGAAGCUAUAUUCUUUGAUCUCAACUUUCAAACCUACUGAUCAAAAAUGGCCACCAACUCCACAUCAUAAGUCAAAUCCCCAUCUAACUGAACCGUGCUGAAGUUUAAAACACGAGAUAGAUCACUGAAACACUUCCGAAGCAUGGAAACAUGAAACACUAGAUGAACACUCGAUAGACUAUGUGGCAAUGCAAGCUUGUAAGCCACCUCUCCAAUCCUCUCAAGCACCUCAAAAAGGCCAAUAUAGCGAGCUCUCAACUUGACCUUCUUUCCGAUCCUCAUAACACCCUUUAUGGUCAAAACUCAUAGUAAUACCUUCUCCCACACCACGUAGGCAAUAUCACGAACCUUCCGAUCAGCAUAACUCUUUUGUCUAGACUACAUCGUGCGAAGUCGAUCCUGAAUCAACUUAACCUUUUCCAAAGCAUCCUAAACCAAGUCAGUACCUAAUUGCCUAGCCUCACCUAGCUCAAACCAACCAACUAGAGACCGACACCGCCUCCCAUACAAGGCCUCAUACAGAACCAUCUAAAUACUCGAGUGGUAGCUGUUGUUGUAGGUAAACUAUAUAAGAGGUAGAAGCUAGUCCCAAGAACCCCGAAAUCCAUGACACAAGCACGUAGCAUAUCCUCUAAUAUCUGAAUGGUGCGCUCAGAUUAUUUGUCCAUUUGAGGGUGGAAUGUUGUAUUCAACUCAACCCAUGUACCUAAGUCGAUGCACUGCUCUCCAAACUUCGAUGUGAAAUGUGUGCCCCGAUCUAAAAUAAUAGACACUAUCACACCGUGAAGGUGAACAAUCUCACGGAUGUAUAUCUAUGCCAACCGCUUCGAAGAAUAGGUUAGUCCCAACUAGAAUGAAAUGUGUGAACUUAGUCAAUUGGUCCACAAUCACCAAAACAGCAUCAAAUUUCUUCAAAGUCCGUGGAAGCCCAACUACGAAGUCCAUAGUAUACAUGCCCAUUUCCUCUUAGGAAUCUCAAGCCUCUGAAGCAAACUGCCUAACCUCUGAUGCUCGUACUUCACCUGCGGAUAAUUCUAGCAUUGAGCUACAAACUCCACUAUAUCUUUCUUCAUUCUCCUCCACCAAUAGUGCUGCAUCAAGUUUUGAUACAUCUUUGCGGCACCCAGAUGAAUGAAAUACCACAAACUGUGGGCCUCCUCAAGAAUCAACUUAUGUAGUCAUCCACAUUAGGCACAAUAAUCUGACCAUACAUCCGAAACACCCCAUCAUCCCAAUAGAAACCUCCUUGGCACUACUAAGUUGAACUGUGUCAUUAAGGACAAGCAAAUGGGGGUCGUCAUACUGAUACUCUCUAAUACAAUCAUAUAAAAAAGACCAAGAAACCACACAAGCUAGAACCCAACUAGGCUCCGACACAUCUAACCUCACGAACUGAUUGUCCAAGGCCUAAAUAUCUGACACAAGUGGUUUCUCACCAACAAGAAUGUAUGCAAGGUACCCAUACUCACUGCCUUUAUACUCAAGGCAUCGACCACCACAUUGGACUUCUGGGAUGAUACAAAAUGGUAAUAUCUUAGUCUUUUAACAUCUCCAACCAUAUUCACUGCCCCAAAUUUAGAUAUUUUUUCUUAAAUAAGUGCUGAAGACUCUGAUGAUCUGUAAAUACCUCACAAGACAUGUCGUAGAGAUAGUGCCUCCAAAUCUUCAAUGCAUGAACGAUGGCUACCAACUCCAAAUCAUGAAAGGGAUAGUUCUUCUUAUUAGGCUUCAACUGGAAAGAAGCAUAAGCAAUCACUCUACUUUCCUACAUCAAGACACACCCAAUACCAAUCUAAAAAUCAUCACAAUACACUGUAUAAGAACCCGAUGCUGAAGGCAAAACUAGAAUUGGAGCUCUGGUCUGGGCAGUCUUGAGUUUUUACAAGCUCUCCUCACACUUAUCCGACCACCUCAAUGGAGCAUACUUCUAGGUCAACCUGGUAGCAAUGGACGAGAAACUCUCCAUGAAGCGGCGAUUAUAUAAGUUCAAGCCUAGAAAAUGCUAAAUCUUAGUAGCUGAAGACGGUCUACGCCAACUCUGAACUGCCUCAAUCUUCUUCGAAUCGACCUUGAUCCCCUCACUAGACACCACUUCCCCAAGAAAGCCACCGAACUGAUCUAAAACUCAUACUUGGAGAACUUAGCAUAAAACUUCUCCUCCCUCAACAUAUGUUGUACAAUCCUCAGAUGUUAUGCAUGCUCCUCCUAGCUACGUGAGUACACCAGAAUAUCAUCAAUAAAUACUAUGACAAAUGAAUCAAGAUAUAGCUAGAAUACACUGUUCAUCAUAUGCAUGUAUGCUUUUGGGGCAUUGAACAUCCCAAAAGACAUCACAAGGAACUCGUAGUGACCAUAGCGGGUCCAGAAUGUUGUCUUAAUAAUAUUAGAGUCCCGAAUCUUCAACUGGUGAUACCUAGACCUCAAAUCAAUCUCAGAGAACACUCUAGCUCUCUGAAGCUGGUAAAUUAAGUCAUCAAUGCACGGCAAAUGAUACUUGUUCUUAAUUGUAACUUUGUUCAACUGCCUAUAGUCGAUGCAUAUCUGCAUUGUACCAUCAUUCUUCACAAAUAGAAUCGGUGCACCCUAAGGUGACACACUAGGCCUAAUGAACCCUUUAUCAAGAAACUCCUGAUGUUGAUCUUUCAAUUCAUUCAACUUUGCUGGUGCCAUAUGAUAUGGAGGAAUACAAAUGGCUUGAGUGUCUGUCACUAAGUCAAUACCAAAAUCAAUGUCCCUAGCGGGCGACACACUUGACAGGUCUGCAGGAAACACAUUCAAAAAGUCUUGCACUACCAGAACAGAAUCAAUAGUAGAAGUAUCAGACCCAACAUAGUUACGGUCUUAGUGUGACAAUCCAGAAUAGCAUGACAUGGGGAAAACCAAUUCAUGUCGAGAAUCACAUCAAAAUCAACCAUACUAAGCAAUAAGAGAUUAACUCUAGUCUCAAAACACCCAAUGGUUACCAUAUAUGACCUAUAUAGUUGGUCCAUAAUAAUAGAAUCGCCAUCGGCGUAGAUACAUGAACAGAUUAAACUAAGGACUCACGGGGCAUAUCCAAAUAAAGAGAAAAAUACAUUGAUACACAUGAAUAAGAGGAACUAGAGUAAAAUAGUACGGAAGCAUCCCUGUGGCACACUGAAACAAUACUUGUGAUCACUCUAUCUGAAGAAACGGCCUUUGGCCUGGCAUGGAAAGCAUAACAUCGAGCCUGACCGCCAUGUUAUGCCUCCCUCUCUGUGGCGACCUCUAGUUGCCUAAGCCCUACCUUGAGCUGGCUGAGCGGGUGGUAAAGUAAUAGGUGUGAAAGUCAUAGCCUGACUCAUUUCCUAAAUUGGACCUCACAAAAGACUGAGACAAUACCUCUUCACAUGAUCGAAGUCUCCACACUCAAAGAAACGUCGCUCUGACAAGGGCGGUAGGUACUGAAUUGGACCUCGAGAACCAAAAUAACUAAUAGGAGGACCUGGCACAGAUGAACCCUAAACUGAUGGAGCACGAGAUGAACUUUGAGCUGAGAGGGCGCUGAAAAAUGACUAACCCAGAUGAACACUAUAUGAACCAUGGCUAGCUGAUGUACCAUGAUGAACAAGAUGAGCCAUCUAAGAGUACUUAUAAGGACAACCCCUAUUAUGGUAGGACUGUCCUCCAAAAGCUACACCAUUGAAACCACCCAAAUCACGAGGCCUCUUGGCCUCCAUCUCCUCACGCUCCUGAUAACGGACCUACUCUAGCCUCCUAGCAAUAUCAACCACCUCGUCGAACCUAGCACCUGAUGCAAUCUAUGGAAUCAUGAAAAAGUGCAGUCCAUAGUUGACUCUGUCAAUAAACCUCCUAAUCCUCUCCCUCUCUGUGGGAACCAACAAAAUCGCAUGAUGAGCCAACUCUAAAAUUCUCAUCUCAUAUUGGGUAUUGGUGUAGGUGCUCAAACUGCCUACGCAACUCCUCCCUGUGGGUUUGUGGAACAAACUUCUCUAAGAAGAGAACUGAGAAUUCAUGCCACGUAAGUGGUGCAGCACCGGAUGGCUUGCUCAACUCAUAGGCCUCCAACCAUCUGAAGGCUGCCCCCGAUAGUUGAAAAGUUGUAAAUGAGACUCCACUAGUCUCCAGAAUACCUGUUGUGCGAAGGAUCCGCUGGCAUUUGUCUAAGAAGUCCUAAGCAUCCUUUGACUCAGUCCCACUGAAUGUUGGAAGCCUAAGCCUCCCAAACCGCUCUAGCCUCUUUUGCUCCUUGUCACUCGUAGGUGGACCUACCUGGGCCUGAGCAACUACAACCGGCUGAGCUGGUAGUACCCUCGAUGUCUGAAGUCGCUGCAGCACCUGCUCUAGAGUACCUACGGCGGGAGUCUGAGCACCUCCCUUACCCUGAGAAGUGGCAGUGCAGCUUGAACUGAAAUUUCCUGAGCAAUGCUAGUGCAUAUAGUCAAUAUCUGGGCCAGAGCCUCCUAAAGGCUUGGAAUCACAAUGGUCACAGCUGGUGUUAGAGCUGGUCCCCACAUCUGGCAUCUACUCCUGAGCUAUAGCAACUGGUGGCUCCACGGGUGCUCCUCUAGCUAUUGUACGAGCUCCACCUCGGCCUCUACCAUGGCACAUGCCUCUUGCAACCCUAUUUGGUGGUACUGGUGGCCAUCCGCCCGAAUCGGUAGCACUUGUCCUCACCAUUUGCGAAAGAAUAGAGUAACAAAAGUUUAUUUUCUAGAAUCAAAUCUGCACGACAAGAAUAUAAGAAAGUGAAGUUUUUUCUAAUGGUUUAAUAGCCUCUCGGAGAUAAGUACAGACGUAUCCAUGACGAUUCACAAGACUCUACUAAACCUGCUCAUGACUCGUGAGACCUACAUAACCUAGGCUAUGAUACCAACUUGUCACAACCCAAAUCUCAACAUGUCAUCAUGGAGCCAAUCACAGUACUAGGUAACCCGACGAUCACAAAAUAGCUAUGCAUUUAAAUUUAAAAGCAUGAAAAAUUAAGUUUAACAGUAAAAAAGAAAUAUUAUAAAAUAAUCUAAAGGAAUAACUGCGACUCAAAUACAAAAUCCCUAAAGAUCCGGGUAUCACCGAGUACAUGAGCUACUAUAUGAUAAAACAAAAAAUAACUUCUAAUACAACUGUCUGGAAAUAUAGAACAAUGCUAAAUAAAUUGAAAAGAGGGAGAGUCGAGGUCUACAAACGCCAAAGCAGCUACCUCAAAAGUCUCCAAACAGGUAAUGCUCCAAGUCUAGUAAGAACCGGGUCCAUAUGUACCUUGAUAUGCACAUAAAGUGUAGAGCGUAGGAUGAGUACAACUGACACAAUAAACUCAAUAAGUAACAGGAUUAACAUUAGGUUGAAAGCAGCGAUGAGCUCAGAAGGUACAGUCUAAAUCUAGAUAAUAACAGUACAAGUAUAAUAGGGAAAUGACAGCAUUACUUAGAGAAAUCUCAUUGUCAGUUUAAACGUAGUACGGAAAUGUAGACAUGCUUUCGAAUUCAAUAAUUAAGGUUAAUACCGAUAAAAUAUGCCAAAUAUAGAUAGUAUGAGAAAUGUUACAUCUCUAUGUCUACAUAAACAAAUAUGCAUGUCAGAUGCAAUGCAUCAGAAUGAUACUCACAUGUACUCACACUCUUAGAGUACUCAAUCUGACUAUCUCAACUCUCAAUCAUCACACUCAAUCACUCAGCAUUGUACGGUACCUGCGCUCACUGUUGGCAUGUUAAAUUCAGAAGGGGCAGAACUUGCCCAAGCGCAAAUAAAACCAAUUGCGGCGUGUAGCCCGAUCCCAUUACGAAUCAAUAAUACUUGAUGUGGCGGGUAGCCCGAUCCCAUAAGGAAUCAAUAAAAACCUAUUACGGCGCACAACCCGAUCCCAUUAAUAUCACUCACAAUUCGGCACUCAAGUUCCAACUUUGUCAUCAACCUUUUCAGUCUCUCGGGCUUACAAUCUCAUGCCAGUUAGGUCAAACAAUGAUAGCAUGAUAUAACAAUAAAGGGCAACAAAGACUGAGAUAUGAUAUGUUAAUAAUAAAUGUGACUGAGUAUAACAGUGCAGUUUUAGCAAAUAAUUUAACAGCAGAAAUGACCUCAAUGGUUCCAACUGAAUAAGCAUAUGGCCUAAACAUGAUUUAUACAUGGAUUGCAGCUUAUUUACUAAAACAUGUAGGGAUUACAUGAACGCCUUGGUAUUUAAUUUGCCUUCGUUCUUGAUUUUGAACUUGAAAUUGUAGCUUGUAGAGAAAUCUGCAGCCUUUGAUCCACAAGUUCUCUGCUAGCUUCUUAUUCUCAAUUCUGGUGUCUUCUAGCUUUAUAAAGACCUCUAAUUAUAGUUGUAGGGAGUGGUGUGGCUCUGCAAUUUGAUUGGUCUGUUUAAACUGACCAAUUCCAUCUAGACACUUGGCACAACUCUAUUGGUUGUUGAUUUGACUUGGUAUGCCACCAUUUCUUUACACAUGACAUGAUUGUAUUGGCUCAUUUAUUUGGCUUGGAUUGCCACGUUACUUUACACGUGGCAUGAUUUUAUUGGCUUGUUCUUUUAACUUGGAUUGGCACAUCGCUAGGCACGUGGCAUGAGCCUGGGUUUUGAGAUGGACUAAAGCCAUUUAGAACUUGGGCUAAUAAAUUGAGCUUAUCAUUUAUAGCCAAUUUAAAUGGACUAGCCCAAUGCAUUCAGACUUAAAUAAUCAAUCCAAUUAUACUAGACACAAUAUUUAUUGGGACUAUUAUAUUUAUUUUAAUAUAGUGAAAUUAUUUUAUGGAUUUAAAUCAUAUAAAAUUUAAAUACAUACAACUAGCCUUUCAGAUCUUGUAAUGAUCAAUAACAUCUCAUUCUGCCAUCUUUACUUGGUAUUUUAUUAUAUUUUCCCAAAAGGGGGAAAACAAAUUAUUUAGUGUUAUAAAUAUAUUAUAUUUUGGAUGUUCAAUUAGUACUAUGUUGUAAAUAAGCUUUCUAAAGAAGUUUAUUCAUAUGGGACUCUGCCGUAAAUAUAUUUAUCUAUUUAGUACUCCAUUGAAAAUAAGCUUUCUCAAGAAGCUUACUAUUUCGGUACUCCGUUAUGGAUAAAUAUUACCUACGGUAGAAGAUAAUCUAUAUCUGAUACGAUAACUGCUUACAAGAAGCUUGCACAACAGCUUACAGUAGGAGCUUACAAGCAUCUUACACAACAACUUGUAGUAGCAGCUUCCUUUCUUCUAUAAAUAGAAGAGAUUUCAUUUUUUAUGUACAUCAGUUUGAAGUUGAGCAGGACAAAGAAAAAGUACCUAGAGUGCAAGUUAGCGUAGUGUCAGGGGGAGCAAAUAUAGACGUGAGGCUUGAUUCACAAGUCAUCCCCAAGAGAUUAAGUUUCAAGUAUCUCGGGUCAAUUAUCCAAGGGGACGUGGAGAUUGAAGAGGAUUUCACACACCGUAUAAGGGAGGGGUUGAUGAAAUGGAAGCUAGCAUCCGGCGUUCUGUGUGACAAGAAUGUGCCACCAAAACUUAAGGGUCAAUUCUACAAGGCCGCGGUUAUACCAGCUAUGCUCUAUGGGCAGAAUGUUGGUCAUUCAAGGUGAACAUAUCCAAAAUGAGGAUAUUGUGAUGGACGUGCGGACACACUAGGUUGGUCAAGAUUAGGAAUAAGGUUAUUUGGGAGAAAGUAGGUGUGGCCCCUAUGAAAAAUAAUAUAGGUGAAGCGAGGCUUAGAUGGUUUGGGCAUGUGAGAAGGAGAAGCAUAGAUGCUCCAGCGAGGAGGUGUGAAUGGCUGGACUGACAGGUAGAAUAAGAGGUAGUGCGUGGCCUAAGAAGUAAUGGUGAUAGGUUAGCAGGAAGGACAUGGCACAACUUCAGCUUACCGAGGACAUGUCCCUUGAUAGGAGGGUAUGGAGAUUCAAGAUUAGGGUAGAAGGGUAAUAGGUUGUCGUGUGUUUUUCUUCUGAUUUGUUCCUAGUUUAUUAGGGCUAGAUGACUAGUACAUUGUCUUCGAUUCUUAGAAUGCCAGUAUUAGGGUUAUUUUAGUACUAUCUUCUGCUUCGGUUUUCUAGUACCCUGUCGUGUUACUACUUGUUGCUAUUACUUUUGCUAUUGUUGUUGCUAUUGCUACUGCUUUGUUCCAUUUAUUUUUCUUCGGUCCUUACAUUGUUGAUAUCAUUUUCCUGGCAUUGUUGUUGUUAUUUAGUUGUUCCUAUUCUUCCUCUCGAGCUAAGGGUCUUUCGCAAUAGCUUCUCUGCCCUCUUGGAUAGGGGUAAGGUCUGUGUACACAUUACCCUCCCCAAACCCCACUUGUAGGAUCUCACUGGGUUGUUGUUGUUGUUGUUAAUAUUAAAGAUCCAGUCAUACUGUGGAUUAAUUUGAAAGAUAGAUAUGACCACCUAAAGAUGAUCGUUCUUCCACAUGCACAUUAUGAUUGGACUCAUUUAAGGCUACAAGAUUUUAAAUCUAUUAGUGAGUAUAAUUCUAAUAUGUUCAGAAUUAUUUUUCAAUUGAAAUUAUGUGGUAAUAAUAUUAUUAAUCAUGAUAUAUUGGAGAAAACUUUCACCACUUUUCAUGCCUUAAAUAUGCUCCUGCAACAGCAGUAUCGAGACAUGGGAUUCAGAACGUAUUCUGAACUUAUCUCACAUCUUUUUGUAGCUGAGCAACAUAAUAGGCUAUUAAUGAAAACCCAUGAAAGUCGACCUAAUAGUUCUUGUCCAUUCCCUAAAGUGAAUGAUAUGAACUUCCACCAAGCUAAGCGCGGAAGAGGUCGUGGCCCCAGUCGUAGUCAUGGUCAUGGUCGGGGAAGAACUCUAAUCAUGAUAAUAAUAAUAAUAAUAAUAAUAAUACACCAAAGAACCCUCCUUAUCACCAGCAGUGAAAAAGGAAGGAACAAAAGAAUGAAGCGAUGCAAGCAACAAAUACGGUAAAUGCAUGUUAUAGAUGUGGAGGAAAAGGGCACUAGUCACAUACAUGUGAUACGCCAAAGUACCUGGUUGGGCUUUAUCAAGCCCCCCCUAAAGAAGACAAAGAAAAAUGUUGAAGCAAAUUUUAUUUUUGAAGAUAAUGUUGACUUCAUGCAUUUGAAUGUAGCUGAUUACUUUGCACUCUCAGAAGAAGAAACAGGAUGAAUAUGUCGAAAUUUAAAUAUUUUAUUUUUUGUUAUAUGUAUUAGAUAGUAAGAUUAUGUAAUUGUUGUACAUAAAUGGUUAUGCUUUGAUAAUGAUAUUUACUAUAAUAUUUAUUUUGUUUAUGUCAUUUUGAAGAAUAUAGAUAAUCCUCAAAUUAUGUUAGGAUCAAAGACCAAUCAUGAAGAUAUUUGUGUAAUUGGUAGUGGAACAACUCAUGCCAUAUUCAAAGACAGAAAUAUUUUUCUAAUUUGUAUAAAGAAAAAGCUAAUAUUUAUAAAAUUUAUGGUAAUAUAAGUUUGAUUAAAGGCUCCGGAGGAGCCACUAUUUUCUGUCAAAGGGAACAAAACUUAUUAUAGAUAAUGCAUUAUUUUCCUCCAGGUCCUGAAGUAACUUGUUGAGUUUUAUAGAUAUCCACCAAGAUAGGUAUUAUACUGAGACAAUAGAUGAAAUGAAUAUGGAAAAUCUUUGUAUUACAAAGCAUAUUUCAGGCAAGAAGUGCAUUGUAGAAAAGUUACUAACUUUACCUUCUAUCUUAUACUAUUCAAAGAUUAGUAUAGUUGAAGAACACUCUAUCAUAAACCAGAAGUUUACUUAUUCAAAUACUUUUUGUACUUUAGCACAGCCGUUUGGGUCAUCCUGGAUUAAUAAUGAUGAGACGAAUUACAGAAAAGUGGAGUGGGC
rnacentral:lncRNA from 1 species